rnacentral:misc_RNA from 1 species
AUGAAAAGUUCAAAGCCUUGAUGAAUUUAAUUGGCAUAAUGUAACUAGCUUAUAGCAACAUAUUUCGAAAGGAUAUGAUUCAGAAAGAUAUAAACCCACGUGAUAUUUGAUCAAACUGAUUGAAAUGGGACCCACACAGCCAUAGAUUAUCAAUCAACCUAUAUGAUUUUAAGGACAAACUCCUGCACAUGCUAUCACCAUUUAUUAAGCAUGAAAUUAUCUCGGUUACCAAAAUUAAACUCACAUGCCCAAAAAGGAAAA